GAAAUGCUAUAAGUAGUGUGAAUUGCAGAAUUCAGUGAAUCAUCGAAUCUUUGAACGCACAUUGCGCCCCUUGGUAUUCCAUGGGGCAUGCCUGUUCGAGCGUCAUUUGUACCCUCAAGCUCUGCUUGGUGUUGGGUGUUUGUCCCCGUCUCCGCGCGUGGACUCGCCCCAAAGUGAUUGGCAGCCGGCGUACUGGUCCCGGAGCGCAGCACAUGUCGCGCAAACGAGUGCCUUGGUACGGCGGCGUCCAUAAGCCCCUCUCUCACGCUCUUGACCUCGGAUCAGGUAGGGAUACCCGCUGAACUUAAGC
rnacentral:misc_RNA from 1 species